AUUGAACGCUGGCGGCAGGCCUAACACAUGCAAGUCGAGCGCGCGGCGGACAGGUGAGGAAUGUCUGGGAAAGUGCGUGAGGGAGGGGGAUAAAAACUGGAAACGGUAUCUAAUACCGCAUACAAUCAGCAGUGACCCGGUGUGAUGAGCUAGUAGGUGGGGUAACGGCUACCCAGGGCGACGAUCCCUAGCUGGUCUGAGAGGAUGACCAGCCACAUUGGAACGGAGACACGGGCCAGACUCUUACGGGAGGCAUCAGUGGGUAAGAUUGCACAAGGGGCGCAAGCCUGAUGCAGCCAUGCCGCGUGUGUGAAGAAGGCCGUCGGGUUGUAAAGCACUUUCAGCGGGGAGGCGUUACCCGCAGAAGAAGCACCGGCUAACUCCGUGCCAGCAGCCGCGGUAAUAC
rnacentral:rRNA from 1 species